rnacentral:SRP_RNA from 1 species
CCUGGGCAUGGUUGCACAUGCCUGUAUUUCCAGCUACUCAGGAGGCUGAGGCAGGAGGAUCGCUUGAGCCCAGAAGUUCUGGGCUGUAGUGCUAUGCUAAUCAGGUGUCUACUAAGUUGGGCAUCAAUAUGGUGACCUCCCGGAGUAGGGGACAAUCAGGUUGCCUAAGGAGGGGUGAACUGCCCAGGUCAGAAAAGGAGCAGGUCAAAAUGCCGGUGCUGAUCAGUAGUGGAAUCAUGCCUGUGAAUAGCCACUGCAUUCCAGCCUGAGCAACAUAGCAAGACCCUGUCUCU